CUACGGGUGUGCAGCAGUGGGGAAUAUUGGACAAUGGGCGAAAGCCUGAUCCAGCCAUGCCGCGUGUGUGAAGAAGGCCUUCGGGUUGUAAAGCACUUUCAGUGGGGAAGAAAGCCUUGGGGCUAAUACCCUCGAGGAAGGACAUCACCCACAGAAGAAGCACCGGCUAACUCCGUGCCAGCAGCCGCGGUAAUACGGAGGGUGCGAGCGUUAAUCGGAAUUACUGGGCGUAAAGCGCGCGUAGGCGGUCUGAUAAGCCGGUUGUGAAAGCCCCGGGCUCAACCUGGGAACGGCAUCCGGAACUGUCAGGCUAGAGUGCAGGAGAGGAAGGUAGAAUUCCCGGUGUAGCGGUGAAAUGCGUAGAGAUCGGGAGGAAUACCAGUGGCGAAGGCGGCCUUCUGGACUGACACUGACGCUGAGGUGCGAAAGCGUGGGUAGCAAACAGGAUUAGAUACCCUUGUAGUC
rnacentral:rRNA from 1 species